GACAUUAGAUACCCGUGUAGUCCCAGCCGUAAACUAUGCGCGUUAGGUGUACUGGUGACCACGAGUCACCGGGGUGCCGAAGGGAAACCGUGAAACGUGCCGCCUGGGAAGUACGGUCGCAAGGCUGAAACUUAAAGGAAGUUGGCGGGGAGCACCACAACGGGUGGAGCCUGCGGUUUAAUUGGACUCAACGCCGGAAAUCUCACCGGAGUAGGACAGACAUAUGAUAGUCGGGCUGAAGACUCUACUUGAUGAUCUG
rnacentral:rRNA from 1 species